UGGGGAAUUUUGGACAAUGGGCGAAAGCCUGAUCCAGCAAUGCCGCGUGUGUGAAGAAGGCCUUCGGGUUGUAAAGCACUUUUGUCCGGAAAGAAAUCCUUGGCUCUAAUACAGUCGGGGGAUGACGGUACCGGAAGAAUAAGCACCGGCUAACUACGUGCCAGCAGCCGCGGUAAUACGUAGGGUGCAAGCGUUAAUCGGAAUUACUGGGCGUAAAGCGUGCGCAGGCGGUUUGCUAAGACCGAUGUGAAAUCCCCGGGCUCAACCUGGGAACUGCAUUGGUGACUGGCAGGCUAGAGUAUGGCAGAGGGGGGUAGAAUUCCACGUGUAGCAGUGAAAUGCGUAGAGAUGUGGAGGAAUACCGAUGGCGAAGGCAGCCCCCUGGCAAGUACUGACGCUCAUGCACGAAAGCGUGGGGAGCAAACAGGAUUAGAUACCCUGGUAGUCCACGCCCUAAACGAUGUCAACUAGUUGUUGGGGGAUUCAUUUCCUUAGUAACGUAGCUAACGCGUGAAGUUGACCGCCUGGGGAGUACGGUCGCAAGAUUAAAACUCAAAUGAAUUGAC
rnacentral:rRNA from 1 species